rnacentral:rRNA from 1 species
GCGAAGCUCCCUUCGGGGAGCAAGUAGAGUGGCGCACGGGUGAGUAACACGUAGGUAAUCUACCUUCGGAUGGGGAAUAACAACCGGAAACGGUUGCUAAUACCGCAUAAUGCAGCGGCACCUAAUGGUGACAGUUGUUAAAGCGGGGGAUCGUAAGACCUCGCGUCUGAAGAGGAGCCUGCGGCAGAUUAGCUAGUUGGUAAGGUAACGGCUUACCAAGGCGAUGAUCUGUAGCCGGCCUGAGAGGGCGGUCGGCCACACUGACACUGACAUACGGGUCAGACUCCUACGGGAGGCAGCAGUCGGGAAUUUUGGGCAAUGGGCGAAAGCCUGACCCAGCAACGCCGCGUGAAGGAUGAAAUCCCUCGGGAUGUAAACUUCGCAAGAACGGGAAGAAUAAGUGAGAGUUAAUAUCUCUCGCGAUGACGGUACCGUUUGUAAGCUCCGGCUAACUCCGUGCCAGCAGCCGCGGUAAUACGGGGGGAGCAAGCGUUG